AUCACAGUGGCAGUAUCGUAGCCAAUGAGGUUAAUCCGAGGCACAAUUAUUGUUAAUUUAUGUCCAACGCAAAAGGCUUCAAUGUUUUCUUUCUUUAUGGGAGGGAGAACUUUUUUUGGGUCAGGGGCUACUGAC
rnacentral:snRNA from 1 species